CAGCCCGCGCUGCGGCGGCUUCCUAGUUAUUGAGGGCAAAACGCCGCCGCGGGCAAAACCGGCGAACUUUUGAUGUUGAGGGAGAAGCGCCGAAGACUGAAGGCGGGCAGGCACGCCGCCUGGCUGCAGUGAGGGCCGCCCGGCGCGACGCAGCGCCUGGGCCAGGAGAGGACCAGCACUCUCCCUUCGCCAGGGCUAGGGGAAGGGGAAGGGGCAGCGCGGCCCACGGGCACCGGUCUGCCUCCGGCCGCCCCAUGCGCAGUGCGCGCCCCGGCUGCCAGUGGGCGCUGUCUUCCCGACGGCUCCGGGGCGCGCUGUGCGUGGGAGGGUCAGCCCGGCCUCCCCUGGCCCCGGCCUCCCCCGGCCGCGCGGGGGUGCCGAGCCCCAGCAAGCGCCCGGGAGUAGGCGUCGCUCUCCCCGGCCCCGCGGCAGGGCCUGCCCAGAACUGAUGAGUGACUACGACCAAUGAUGUCCUGCAUCCACACACAUGGUGAUCUUCCCCCAGUGGCUUUCAAAUAGGCACGUCUAUAAUCAUGACCAUAAAUAUAAGUUGUUGGGGAUCUUUUAUUUGUUGUUUUUUGUUGGUUGUUUUGGUUUGCUUUUUGUUCGUUGGGGGGUGUGUGUGUGUUUGUUUGUUUGUUUGUUUUCCCAUUGUUUCGGUUGGUUUGGUUUUCGAUUUGGUUUGGUUUUGUUUUUUUUUCAGAGAUACUGAAAUAAUUUGCAAAUGAGAAAAUCUGUCUUUUCCCUCCCUUCGCCAACUUUUUUCAACUGGAACCAAAACACUUGGUGAAAUAAAGAGCAACUAUGAGGGCUGCGUUGAGUUCAUACUGCUCAGACAGUUACUAAGUGCUUUAGUGAUAACAAAAGCAACUAUAAAUUUCCCUAUCAGAUGCAGCAAUCAUGAGUAAUGCAGCCCAAUUACUACCCAAUUUCUUGAUUCUAUGUAUGUAUUGCCAGUACUAAUUAAUUAUAGAGAAAGGAUAAGGAGAUAGUAGUAAACGCUAGCUUAAAAAAAAGUAAAAAUAUGAAAUUUUCAGCAACAUCUAAGCCAAUAAGGAAUGAGUAAUUUAUCUGAAAAUUCAUAAAAACUACAAGUGUGAGGAGGAUGCAUAUAUUGUUCAUAUUAAAAACUGGUGAAGCACCAAAAUAGGGGAAAUUUAACUUCAUUAUGGUGUUGAUCUGCAUGUUAAUAUUUGGAUGUAAAAUAGCUGUCAAUCCUUUAAAUUAGUUGAGAUUACAUUAUCAACCUGACCAUCAUUAUUACACUUGCAGUCAAGUUUUAGGUUUGCAAGAUUACACUUGAAAAAAAAAUAUAGUUACUUGAACUGUGGAUCUGGAUUUCUCUCUUCCCAGCAGCUGAUUUUCAUAAAGUCUAUGGGAACUUAAUUAUCUUUGAGACGUCUUCCCCUUUAGAAUGUAGUUUAAACUGUCCAACAAGUUAGAAGGUGUUGGAUCGAAGGGAGGAGGGACAGCCAGCCAGUCCAGUCACAUAAGUCUUGUUUCCUCAGGCAACAAGGCUAAAGAUUUUUUCUUGAUCUUGAAAUAGCUGCCCUAUGUAAACUGUUUUGAAGUAAUUUCUUCAUACAAAGUACCUUAAUUAUAUACAGCUCUUUCAAAACACAUAAAAGGCCGGGUGCUUGCCCUGAAGAGCUUGUAUUUUAACUCAGAUAAAUGUAGGUGAGCCAGUAUUGCCAGUGCAAUAGGGCACAGAGACCGAGCUUCUCAAGAGGUCCCAAAGUGGGGCCCAGCCUGACAGAGCGCAGCACAGGAACACUUGAUUUCAAGAGCACAGCUCUGAAAUGUUUGUUUUUCAGAAGGCAAGGAGUAUCCUUGCUCUGCAGAUCGGGCUCCUUCAGCGUGUUUCUGCUCAAGCAUUCUUACCCUCGAGACAUAAGCUGUUUCAGAAAUCCCUGAUCAAAGGCGUUGGCAACUAAACAAGCCUGAGGACUUGCCUACCUAUUGCUCGGACAGCAUGGAGGACGCCCUUUCAAGCACAGUGCAAGAAUCUUUAAAGCAGUGUUCUAAUCUGAAAGCAAAACGCCACUUUCUUAACCAAGAAAUGUAAAUCUUGUUUGUAUUUAUAUUCAUACCUCUUUAUGUGAGCAUUAAAAUAUUUCCUCUGU